GAAUGACUCUCGGCAACGGAUAUCUCGGCUCUUGCAUCGAUGAAGAACGUAGCGAAACGCGAUACUUGGUGUGAAUUGCAGAAUCCCGUGAACCAUCGAGUCUUUGAACGCAAGUUGCGCCCGAAGCCAUUAGGCCGAGGGCACGCCUGCCUGGGUGUCACAC
rnacentral:rRNA from 1 species